AAACCAACAGGGAUUGCCUUAGUAGCGGCGAGUGAAGCGGCAAAAGCUCAAAUUUGAAAUCUGGCACUUUCAGUGUCCGAGUUGUAAUUUGAAGAAGGUAUCUUUGGGUCUGGCUCUUGUCUAUGUUUCUUGGAACAGAACGUCACAGAGGGUGAGAAUCCCGUGCGAUGAGAUGUCCCAGACCUAUGUAAAGUUCCUUCGAAGAGUCGAGUUGUUUGGGAAUGCAGCUCUAAGUGGGUGGUAAAUUCCAUCUAAAGCUAAAUAUUGGCGAGAGACCGAUAGCGAACAAGUACAGUGAUGGAAAGAUGAAAAGAACUUUGAAAAGAGAGUGAAAAAGUACGUGAAAUUGUUGAAAGGGAAGGGCUUGAGAUCAGACUUGGUAUUUUGUAUGUUACUCUCUCGGGGGUGGCCUCUACAGUUUACCGGGCCAGCAUCAGUUUGAGCGGUAGGAUAAGUGCAAAGAAAUGUGGCACUGCUUCGGUAGUGUGUUAUAGUCUUUGUCGAUACUGCCAGC
rnacentral:rRNA from 1 species